AGAGUUUGAUCCUGGCUCAGGAUGAACGCUAGCGACAGGCUUAACACAUGCAAGUCGAGGGGCAGCGGGGUAGUGCUUGCACUACCGCCGGCGACCGGCGCACGGGUGAGUAACACGUAUGCAACCUACCCUGAUCAGGGGGAUAAGCGGUGGAAACGCCGUCUAAUACCGCGUAUAUCUUCCGGGGGCAUCCCCGGGAGAAGAAAGGUAGUAAUACCGGAACAGGAUGGGCAUGCGGCGCAUUAGGUAGUUGGAGGUGUAACGGACCACCAAGCCGACGAUGCGUAGGGGUUCUGAGAGGAAGGUCCCCCACACUGGUACUGAGACACGGACCAGACUCCUACGGGAGGCAGCAGUGAGGAAUAUUGGUCAAUGGGCGGGAGCCUGAACCAGCCAAGUCGCGUGAAGGAAGAAGGUACUUAGUAUUGUAAACUUCUUUUGUCAGGGAACAAAAGUGAGGACGCGUCCUCAUAUGAGUGUACCUGAAGAAAAAGCAUCGGCUAACUCCGUGCCAGCAGCCGCGGUAAUACGGAGGAUGCGAGCGUUAUCCGGAUUUAUUGGGUUUAAAGGGUGCGCAGGCGGAAGGUCAAGUCAGCGGUAAAAUGUCGGGGCUCAACCCCGGCCGGCCGUUGAAACUGGUCAUCUAGAGUUGGAGAGAAGUAUGCGGAAUUCGUGGUGUAGCGGUGAAAUGCAUAGAUAUCACGAAGAACUCCGAUUGCGAAGGCAGCAUACCGGCUCCAUACUGACGCUCAGGCACGAAAGCGUGGGGAUCGAACAGGAUUAGAUACCCUGGUAGUCCACGCAGUAAACGAUGAAUGCUGGUGUUGGGUAAGAAUGAUUACUGAAUGCCCAUAGCGAAAGCGAUAAGCAUUCCACAUGGGGAGUUCGCCGGCAACGGUGAAACUCAAAGGAAUUGACGGGGGCCCGCACAAGCGGAGGAACAUGUGGUUUAAUUAGAUGAUACGCGAGGAGCCUUACCCGGGCUCAAACGUAGCAGGACGUGCGCCGAAAAGCGCAUUUCACUUUGUGACCUGUUACGAGGUGCUGCAUGGUUGUCGUCAGCUCGUGCCGUGAGGUGUCGGGUUAAGUGCCAUAACGAGCGCAACCCCUGCCGCCCGUUGCUAACGCAUAAAGGAGAGGUCUUUGGCGGGACUGCCGGUGCAACCCGUGAGGAAGGCGGGGAUGACGUCAAAUCAGCACGGCCCUUAUGUCCGGGGUGACACACGUGUUACAAUGGGGGGCACAGCGGGAAGCCACUUGGUGACAAGGAGCAGA
rnacentral:rRNA from 1 species